UUAAGUUAUUAAGGGCGCACGGUGGAUGCCUUGGCACUAGAAGCCGAUGAAGGACGUUACUAACGACGAUAUGCUUUGGGUAGCUGUAAGUAAGCGUUGAUCCAGAGAUUUCCGAAUGGGGGAACCCAGCAUGAGUUAUGUCAUGUUAUCGACAUGUGAAUUCAUAGCAUGUCAGAAGGCAGACCCGGAGAACUGAAACAUCUUAGUACCCGGAGGAAGAGAAAGAAAAAUCGAUUCCCUGAGUAGCGGCGAGCGAAACGGGAAGGGCCCAAACCAA
rnacentral:rRNA from 1 species